GCCAGACUCCUACGGGAGGCAGCAGUGGGGAAUAUUGCACAAUGGGGGAAACCCUGAUGCAGCGACGCCGCGUGAGUGAAGAAGUAUUUCGGUAUGUAAAGCUCUAUCAGCAGGGAAGAAAAUGACGGUACCUGACUAAGAAGCCCCGGCUAACUACGUGCCAGCAGCCGCGGUAAUACGUAGGGGGCAAGCGUUAUCCGGAUUUACUGGGUGUAAAGGGAGCGUAGACGGCAUGGCAAGUCAGAUGUGAAAGCCCGGGGCUCAACCCCGGGACUGCAUUUGAAACUGUCAGGCUGGAGUGCAGGAGAGGUAAGUGGAAUUCCUAGUGUAGCGGUGAAAUACGUAGAUAUUAGGAGGAACACCAGUGGCGAAGGCGGCUUACUGGACUGUAACUGACGUUGAGGCUCGAAAGCGCGGGGAGCAAACAGGAUUAGAUACCCGUGUAUC
rnacentral:rRNA from 1 species